rnacentral:rRNA from 1 species
ACGGGUGAGUAAAGCACAGGAAUCUGCCUUAGUGAGGGGGAUAACUCGGGGAAACUCGAGCUAAUACCGCAUAAUGUUUUCGAACCAAAGCAUGGGACUGAAAGGCCAUGCGCACUGAGAUGAGCCUGUGUCCGAUUAGCUAGUUGGUGGGGUAAAGGCCUACCAAGGCGACGAUCGGUAGCUGGUCUGAGAGGACGGACAGCCACACUGGGACUGAGACACGGCCCAGACUCCUACGGGAGGCAGCAGUGGGGAAUAUUGGACAAUGGGGGCAACCCUGAUCCAGCGAUGCCGCGUGUGUGAAGAAGGCCUGCGGGUUGUAAAGCACUUUGAGUAGGGAAGAUUGAUUGUGGUGCUAAUAGUAUCAUGAUUUGACGUUACCUACAGAACAAGCACCGGCUAACUCUGUGCCAGCAGCCGCGGUAAUACAGAGGGUGCGAGCGUUAAUCGGAAUUACUGGGCGUAAAGGGCGCGUAGGUGGUUAUUUAAGUUGACUGUGAAAGACCCGGGCUUAACCUGGGGGUGUCAGUCAAAACUGGAUAGCUAGAGUAGGGUAGAGGGAAGUGGAAUUUCCGGU